rnacentral:rRNA from 1 species
AGACGCUGGCGGCAGGCUUAACACAUGCAAGUCGAACGAAGUCUUCGGACUUAGUGGCAGACGGGUGAGUAACGCGUGGGAACCUACCCUUUGGUACGGAACAACAGUUGGAAACGACUGCUAAUACCGUAUGAGCCCUACGGGGGAAAGAUUUAUCGCCAAAGGAUGGGCCCGCGUUGGAUUAGCUAGUUGGUGGGGUAAAAGCCUACCAAGGCGACGAUCCAUAGCUGGUCUGAGAGGAUGAUCAGCCACACUGGGACUGAGACACGGCCCAGACUCCUACGGGAGGCAGCAGUGGGGAAUAUUGGACAAUGGGGGCAACCCUGAUCCAGCCAUGCCGCGUGAGUGAUGAAGGCCCUAGGGUUGUAAAGCUCUUUCAGCGAGGAGGAUAAUGACGUUCUCGCAGAAGAAGCCCCGGCUACUUCGUGCCAGCAGCCCGCGGUAAUCCGAAGGGGGCU